CGGAGAAAUAAUGAAUGAGCACCGCGUCAUCCCCAAACGCCGCCUUCAUGUUGAAGUGCGCCGCCGCGACCUCGAAUGCCAAAUCAGUUUAUAAACUCCGUCGAUUUUGCAGGACCUGCCACUGUGCCGGUGAUUCGCAGAAUCAUUAGGAGAUGAUUUCCCGGAAGAAGACGAUGACGAAGAAGGUGAGGGGCCGGCUAUGAGAGGAGAAGUGGGGUUUUGUUGUUGCUGAAAAGUUUGCGGCGGCGGUGUCGAUUAGGUGGAGGUUUAGACGUGGUGGAGUUUGUGCUUGGUUCUUGAUUUUCUGAUCUGGAACCAAUAGAAGACUUUGGCGUCGCCGAUUUGACCGUCCAUUCCAGAAUUGAAGAUAACUUCAAGAAUGCGUAUUUAAUCUGGCUUCGGAUUCCAUCUCGCCUUUGGCUCUGGAGCGCUCAUCUCUUCACUCCCACCAGUUGAAGGGGCUGUUAACGGUGGUUUGAGGGAAGAGCUGAGAAUGUCACGGUGGCAGUGCCAUGGGUGGAGAGUGUUGCUAGGCCAGUGUCUCUUUGAUGAAGACAUUGAUGAAUGAUGAAUGCAUUCAAUGGAAGCCCCAAAACCCACCUUUUAUUUUAAUUUGCUGCUCUCUCCCUCUCUUGUUUUUGACAAUUCAUAAUGUUCUUUCUUUGUUGGUGAUGAAAUUAGGGGGUGUGACAUCCAUGGACACAUUCUUGGAAAGGUUCUUUUCGAAAGUUUAUAGAAAGAAUAACGAGUUGCCAACUUGCCAUUACCUGGGUUCCAUGUCAUUAAACUUGCAGAAAAUCAGUGAACUCCAAGCUAUGUUGAUUGGACACAGCAACAAGACCAGAAAGUUUCUCCUCAAAAUUCUCUGGUUCUCUUCUCAAAAUUCAAUAUUUUCUCACUCCAUAGCUUGUUCAUAUAUCCAGAGGCAGAGCUAUGUGAAUGUGUACAUGAAAUGGAAGCAAGAUUUCUACUUCGAUUCAAUUGAGUCCGUUCACAAAUCCAUUGAAUUGCAGCCCAUAAUCGCCCUCAAGAACUACAUAGUUUCUGCUUCACCUGAAGAGUAUUCCAUCCCCAUUUCUGAUGUUUCCAAGAAGGGCUUACGUUUUGGGGUGCGCAUUAAGGUUGCCAGGUUCUUGAGGCAAUACCCUUCUGUUUUCGAGGAGUUUACUGGCCCCAAGCACAAUCUUCCCUGGUUCAGGCUGACCCAGAGAGCCAUUGAGCUUGAUAAGGAGGAGAGAGAGGUUUACAGAGCGUUUAAGGAUGACCUUCUGUUAAGGUUGAAGAAGUUGGUUUUGAUGAGUUGUGUUAGUUUUGGUGAUAAAAAGGUCCUGCCUUUGAAGAUCAUCCAGGGUAUGCAGUGGUAUUUGGGAUUUCCUGACGAUUUCUUGACAGACCGUGAAAGUAAUCUUCCCAAAUCUUUUGAAAUUGUGGAAAUGGGGGAUGGUCUGAAAGGACUGGCUCUUAACAAUGAAGGGAAUGAAAAGGUGCUGUCUGUGAUGCAGAGGAAUGCAAUGAAAAGAGGAGUGUAUGAUGGUGGGGAGAAUGAAACCAUUGCAUUUCCCACAUUUCCAUCAAAGGGGUUGAGGUUGAGGAGAAAGAUUAUAGAUUGGUAUGAUGAUUUUCAGAAGCUUCCUUAUGUUUCACCUUAUGAAAACUAUUCAGCUAUAAGGCCUGAUAGCGAAACGGCAGAGAAACGGGUGCUGGGCUUGCUUCAUGAGUUGCUUAGCUUGUUUGUGGAGCAUGCUGCUGAAAGGAAAAAGCUUUUGUGUCUCAGGAAGUACUUGGGGUUGCCACAAAAGGUGCACAAGGCAUUUGAGAGGCACCCUCACAUUUUCUAUCUAUCUUUGAAGAACAAGACCUGCACUGCAAUAUUAAAGGAGGCUUAUUGUGAACAAGGUGCAAUUGAAGUACAUCCUCUAGCAAAGGUGAGGAAGAAGUACAUCAAUUUGGUGAAGGAAUCGGCUUUUAUUUUGAAAAGUAGAAGGUUCAACAAUAGGCCACGAGAUCAGGGAAAUAUGAAUGUAAAGGACUUAGAUUGUACAGAAGAUGAGAAUGAGAAGACUGGAAUUGAAGCUGCUUAAGUAAUGAUUUUCAAGAUGAAAGUUGUGUGCUUCUAGAAGUGGCUAAAUGAAACUUGAGCCAAAGUGACCUAGCAGAACUUGAAGGCUAUACAGAUACAUUGAAUAUAAUGCUAACCUAGCUUCAGGUGCUUUAUCACUACAGCUAGAUCACUUAUUGGAUGAUGCAAUUAAGAAACUUGGGUUGAAGAUAGCAGAGGGAGGAUCCUAUCUAUUCAAUUCAAGUCGCUUCUCGCUAACAAUGCACAAAUAGUGUUUGGCUCUGAUUGGCCAGUAGCAGAUAUUAAUCCAUUGAGAAGCAUAGCGACAGCAAUGAAAAGAAUGCCUGCCAGUCAACAAAAGGACGUUGGAUUCCAUCAGAACGCAUGAGUCUAAACGAGGCACUAGAUGUGACCUUGGAUUUAACUGAUGUCAAGUAUACAAUCUCGGCUGCUCGCGCAUGCUUCCUUGACAAAUUAAAGAUGUUGGAUCACUCACUCUCUCCUGGGAAGCUGGCAGAUUUUGUGGUUUUGUCUACUGAUUCAUGGGAUUCUUUUGCAAGUGAUGGAUUUGCCUCGGUUCAAGCAACAAAUCACAAAAAGACCAAGGCUGAUUACGAGAUGGAACUUGAGAGAGAAUGAAAUACAUUGUAAUGUGUAUACUUCUUUCCUGUAGUAUAUUUCAAUGCUUAAACUAGAAAUUGUGACACCCUCCUAAACACCAUACACUGGAAACUUGGAGGUUUUGCCUUUUAAACUUCAAGAAACAUGUACGACAGGCCUGAAAAUUGCAUAACAGUUUGUUCAUAUUUGUUAUUAGGCAAAAGAUUCUGAUGAUUUCUCAAA